rnacentral:rRNA from 1 species
UACGUAGGGUGCAGGCGUUAAUCGGAAUUACUGGGCGUAAAGCGUGCGCAGGCGGUUUCUUAAGUCAGAUGUGAAAGCCCCCGGGCUUAACCUGGGAACUGCGUUUGAAACUGGGAGACUUGAGUGUGGCAGAGGGGGGUGGAAUUCCACGUGUAGCAGUGAAAUGCGUAGAUAUCGAGAGGAACACCUGCGGCGAAGGCGGGAUUGCCU